rnacentral:rRNA from 1 species
UACAGAGGUCCCAAGCGUUGUUCGGAUUCAUUGGGCGUAAAGGGUGUGUAGGUGGCGCCGUAAGUCGGGUGUGAAAUCUCGGGGCUUAACUCCGAAACUGCAUUCGAUACUGCGGUGCUCGAGGACUGGAGAGGAGACUGGAAUUCAUGGUGUAGCAGUGAAAUGCGUAGAGAUCAUGAGGAAGACCAGUGGCGAAGGCGGGUCUCUGGACAGUUCCUGACACUGAGGAGCGAAAGCCAGGGGAGCAAACGGG